AAGUCGUAACAAGGUUUCCGUAGGUGAACCUGCGGAAGGAUCAUUAUAAAAUUUUUCUUGCAUAUUUUUUUAAAAUGUGUAAAAAAAAAAUCUUGUAUUCAAAACCCACACUCUUUAAAACCCAUAAUAAAAAAAUUUUUUAUGUUAUAUACAUGAAAUUUUUUUAUUUAAAAAUAAUAUAAUAAAAAGACAACUUUCAACAACGGAUCUCUUGGCUCUC
rnacentral:misc_RNA from 1 species